rnacentral:rRNA from 1 species
CCUACGGGAGGCAGCAGUGAGGAAUAUUGGUCAAUGGGAGAGAUCCUGAACCAGCCAAGCCGCGUGAGGGAAGACGGCCCUAUGGGUUGUAAACCUCUUUUGUCGGAGAACAAAACCCGGGACGUGUCCCGGACUGCGUGUAUCCGAAGAAAAAGCAUCGGCUAACCCGGUGCCAGCAGCCGCGGUAAUACGGAGGAUGCGAGCGUUAUCCGGAUUUAUUGGGUUUAAAGGGUGGGUAGGCGGUCCGUUAAUUGCGCGGUAAAAUUGCGGGGCUAAACCCCGUCGAGCCGUUAAAACUGGCAGACUUGAGUGGGCAAGAAGUACGAGGAAUGCGCGGUGUAGCGGUGAAAUGCAUAGAUAUCGCGCAGAACACCUAUUGCGAAGGCAGCGUACGGGCGCGAGACUGACGCUGAGGCACGAAAGCGUGGGGAUCGAACAGGAUUAGAUACCCGAGUAGUC